AUUCAUUUGAUUUGUCAAUCAUUUACAACAUAAUAGAACUUCCCAGCGCUGCUCUGAAUUGUGCUUUUUACGGAAUUCCGAACGAAGAGAAUCUUGAUCUGGUGGCGGAUUUGCUAAGGACUUUCCAGUAUGUCCUGACCAACGAGGGCAUAUUCUUUGAAGUAACGUGCCACUAUAUCCAAUGAUGCUCUGGAAAAGAAGAUGAUUUUGUAAGAGACAGAAGGUCAGGCAAAUGCAAUUUUCUCAUCCAGAGAAAAACAAGACAACUUCUGCUGAAAUCGUCUCAUCAUUUAGUUUACUCCUGCUUGAACCUGGAGGCCUUAUAGCAGGGGUGCCAAACCCAAGGCCUGAAGGCUGCAGGUGCUUAGUAUCUGGCCUGGGGGCUGCUCUGGAAACAGCGAAGGACCGGCCUGUGAUGCCUCUCCCAUAAAAAACAGAGUUUGGGAGGGCGGCAGGGGCCCCUCAUGGGCUCUGUUUUCAGCUGCAAUGGCCUCCUGCAGCCCUGGCUCUGUUUUCAGAGGCCAUUGCUGCCGAAAAUGGAGCCUGGGAUGGCCCUUUGCGUCCCUCACAAACUACUAGCAAA